UACGUAGGGUGCGAGCGUUACUCGGAAUUACUGGGCGUAAAGCGUGCGCAGGCGGUGAUGUAAGCCAGAUGUGAAAUCCCCGGGCUCAACCUGGGAACUGCAUUUGUGACUGCAUCGCUGGAGUGCGGCAGAGGGGGAUGGAAUUCCGCGUGUAGCAGUGAAAUGCGUAGAUAUGCGGAGGAACACCGAUGGCGAAGGCAAUCCCCUGGGCCUGCACUGACGCUCAUGCACGAAAGCGUGGGGAGCAAACAGG
rnacentral:rRNA from 1 species